CUGUUCUGUUAUACCUCCUCCUGGUAUAGGGCCUGUAUUAGUAACUGUUCUGUUAUUCCUCCUCCUGGUAUAGGGCCUGUAUUAGUAACUGUUCUGUUAUUCCUCCUCCUGCCUGUGACAUGGUAUAGGUCCUGUAUUAGUAACUGUUCUGUUAUUCCUCCUCCUGCCUGUGACAUGUAUAGGUCCUAUAUUAGUAACUGUCUGUUAUUCCACCUGCCUGUGCCACAUUAUUCAGUCAGAUACUGCUGUUCCAUGUCCUGGUGUUUGGGGUGGACAGGCUUGGUGAGCAGGGAGGCAGCAGCAGCUCAUGGUUGGGAGUGACAGGCCUUGGUGAGCAGGAGGCAGAUGGAGAUGAUAUGAAUCUACUCCUCUACAUCACCAACAUCUGCGCAUUUCUAUGUUUGUAGUAAGAAAGAUAAGGAAGACGAGUGUUUCAAUGACAUGAUCAAACCAAUUAGUAGACCA
ensembl:lncRNA